rnacentral:rRNA from 1 species
GAGCGGUCGUAGCAAUACGGCAGCGGCAGACGGGAGAGUAACACGUGGGAACGCGCCCUUCGGUUCGGAAUAACUCAGGGAAACUUGGGCUAAUACCGGAUACGCCCUUACGGGGAAAGAUUCAUUGCCGAAGGAACGGCCCGCGUCCGAUUAGCUUGUUGGUGAGGUAACGGCUCACCAAGGCGACGAUCGGUAGCUGGUCUGAGAGGAUGACCAGCCUCACUGGGACUGAGACACGGCCCAGACUCCUACGGGAGGCAGCAGUGGGGAAUAUUGGACAAUGGGCGCAAGCCUGAUCCAGCCAUGCCGCGUGAGUGAUGAAGGCCCUAGGGUUGUAAAGCUCUUUCAGCGGGGAAGAUAAUGACGGUACCCGCAGAAGAAGCCCCGGCUAACUUCGUG